UUUCCGUAGGUGAACCUGCGGAAGGAUCAUUCACAAUAAGUGUUUUAUGGCAAUUUUUAAACAAUCCAUAUCCACCUUGUGUGCAACGUUAUGAUAUCCUCUAUCGUUAUCUUUCAGGUUACUGAAGAGGGAUACUCUUCAACUUACCAACAUCAGAUUUAACUUAUUUGUCUGAACCUUUGUUAUCACGAAUUAACUUAAUUCGAAAAAACAACUUUCAACAACGGAUCUCUUGGCUCUC
rnacentral:misc_RNA from 1 species